rnacentral:rRNA from 1 species
AGGGUUUGAUCCUGGCUCAGAACGAACGCUGGCGGCGUGGCUAAGACAUGCAAGUCGAACGGACCAGUAAUUUAUUAUUGGUUAGUGGCGAAAGGGUGCGGAAUAAAUAGGUAACGUGCCCCGCGCUUCGGGAUAGCGUCGGUUGCUUCGGCAACCUACCGAAAGGGGCGGUAAUACCGGAUAAUAUCAUCUGUCGAUGGGCGGACGAUCAAAGAUUUAUCGGCGUGGGAGCGGCCUAUUUCUUAUCAGCUUGUUGGUGGGGUAACGGCUCACCAAGGCGACGACGGGUAGCGGGGCUGAGAGGUUGACCCGCCUCAUCGGGACUGAGACACUGCCCGGACCUCCACGGAGGGCUGCAGUAACGAAUAUUGCGCAAUGGGCGAAAGCCUGACGCAGCGACGCCGCGUGUAGGAGGAAGUCUUUCGGGAUGUAAACUACUGUCAGGGGUAAGAAAGUGCGCUUCGGCGGAUUGAUCUAACCCAAAGGAAGUCACGGCUAACUUCGUGCCAGCAGCCGCGGUAAGACGAAGGUGGCAAGCGUUGUUCGGUAUCACUGGGCUUAAAGGGUGUGUAGGCGGAUAUUUAAGCGUCUUGUGAAAUCCCUCGGCUUAACCGAGGAAUUGCUUGGCGAACUGGAUAUCUUGAGGCAAGUAGGGGUGCACGGAACUCUUGGUGGAGCGGUGGAAUGCGUAGAUAUCAAGAGGAACGCCGGUGGAGAAGUCGGUGCACUGGGCUUGUCCUGACGCUGAGACACGAAAGCGUGGGUAGCGAACGGGAUUAGAUACCCCGGUAGUCCACGCCGUAAACGAUGUCUACUAGGCUGUGGAGGUUCUGACGCCGUCACGGCCGAAGCAAAAGUGUUAAGUAGACCGCCUGGGGAGUACGGCCGCAAGGCUAAAACUCAAAGGAAUUGACGGGGGCUCACACAAGCGGUGGAGCAUGUGGAUUAAUUCGAAGCACGCGUAGAACCUUACCUGGGUUUGACAUGCUUGGAUGCAUCUGGAAACAGGGGAAGCUGCUUCGGGUGAACUUGCACAGUGCUGCAUGCUGUCGUCAGCUCGUGUCGUGAGAAUGUCGGUAGUCUUUACGAGCGAAACCCUGCGUAGUGGCAGCUUAUGACGGACUCUACGGACUGCGGU